rnacentral:tRNA from 1 species
GCCGGGCUGGCGGAAUUGGCAUACGCAGGCGACUUAAAAUCGCCCGCUGGGGAAUCCAGCUUGAGGGUUCGACCCCCUCGCCCGGCA